rnacentral:tRNA from 1 species
GGAUCCAUAGCAUAGCCUGGUCAAUGCGCUGGUCUUAUAAGCCAGAUAUCGGGAGUUCGAAGCUCCCUGGAUCCA